GUUGAUGUGGCUGGGUGGUAAAGGUGAUGGACUAGAUAUCAAUUGAGGUCUCCCUGCGCAGGUUCGAAUCCUGCUGACAAACA